UUUCUCUCUUUCUCUUGAAUGCUUGCAAGAACACACAUACACUCUCUCUCUCUCUCAUUAAAUUCAUCAUCAAUUUGGGUUGUUCAAGAUAAAUUAAUACAAGAUUUAGCUUCAUCAUCUCCUCAUCUCUAUCAUAUCUCAAAUUUGGAUUUUCUAGUGCAAGGAAAUCUUCUAAACGGGUCAUUCUCGGGUUUGGAACUUUGGUAGAGACUUUGGUGGUGGACGUGGAGUGAACAUUGAACGACUCUAGCUCGACUAUCAAUAGAUAUUAACUUCUAAUUGCCGAUCAAGGUAAUCAAGUGAACCAAGGACGUGAUGCAUGAUUUCUACUUGCCUUUAACUCAGGCUUGGACGUAUGUGGAUCAAGGAUUCAUUUGUCCAUUUUACAUUAUGCUUAGAAUCGAUAGCCAUCAUUAGACUAUUAUUUUGUAAACUCUGAUGGUCAUUUGCUCCUUAUGUAUUUUGCAUGAAUACUUGACAUACUUGGUUGGAUUCACCGAAUUCACUUAUUUUCAUUUAAUUGUCUACAUUAAU